rnacentral:rRNA from 1 species
ACUCAAAGGAAUUGACGGGGGCCCGCACAAGCGGUGGAGCAUGUGGUUCAAUUCGACGCAACGCGAAGAACCUUACCCAGGCUCGAACGGCAAUUGACAUCCUGCGAAAGCAGGCUCCCGCAAGGGCAAUUGUCGAGGUGCUGCAUGGCUGUCGUCAGCUCGUGUCGUGAGAUGUUGGGUUAAGUCCCGCAACGAGCGCAACCCUUGUCCGCUGUUGCCAUCACGUUAUGGUGGGCACUCUGCGGAGACUGCCGGUGAUAAACCGGAGGAAGGUGGGGAUGACGUCAAGUCAGCAUGGCCUUUAUGUCUGGGGCUACACACGUGCUACAAUGGCCGGUACAAACCGUCGCGAUGCCGCAAGGUGGAGCUAAUCGGAGAAAACCGGUCUCAGUUCGGAUUGCAGGCUGCAACUCGCCUGCAUGAAGUUGGAAUCGCUAGUAAUCGCGGAUCAGCACGCCGCGGUGAAUACGUUCCCGGGCCUUGCACACACCGCCGU